GACGAACGUUGGCGGCGUGCUUAAUACAUGCAAGUCAACUGAAGCAGUGGUAGCAAUCUCGCUGUGGAGGUGGCGCACGGGUGAGUAACACGUAGGUAAUCUGCCUUCAGGUCUGGCAUAACUCCGGGAAACCGGGGCUAAUAGCAGAUGAUGCAGCGGCUCGCCAUCGAGACAGUUGUUAAAGCUAUGGCGCCUGAAGAUGAGCCUGCGUCUGAUUAGCUAGUUGGCGGGGUAACGGCCCACCAAGGCAACGAUCAGUAGCUGGUCUGAGAGGAUGAUCAGCCACACUGGAACGGAGACACGGUCCAGACUCCGACGGGAGGCAGCAGAAAGGAAUAUGGCUCAAUGGGAGAAAUCGUGAAGCAGCAACGCUGCGGGAGGGAUGAAGGGUGUUUGCUUGUAAACCUCUGUAGUGAGAGAAAAAAAUCCCAAUCUUUGGGACAUGAUGGUAUCUCAAGAGUAAGCCCCGGCUAACUACGUG
rnacentral:rRNA from 1 species